rnacentral:rRNA from 1 species
UACAGGGGGUGCAAACGUUGCUCGGAAUCAUUGGGCGUAAAGCGCACGUAGGCGGUUCGUUAUGUCGGAUGUGAAAGCCCUUGGCUUAACCGAGGAAGUGCAUCCGAAACUGGCGAGCUAGAGUACGAAAGAGGAUCGCGGAAUUCCCGGUGUAGAGGUGGAAAUUCGUAGAUAUUCGGAAGAACACCAGUGGCGAAGGCGGCUCACUGGACAUGUAUUGACGCUGAGGUGCGAAAGCGUGGGGAGCAAACAGG